AGCAGUCGCCGCGGUAAAACGUAGGUGGCAAGCGUUGUCCGGAAUUAUUGGGCGUAAAGGGCUCGCAGGCGGUUUCUUAAGUCUGAUGUGAAAGCCCCCGGCUCAACCGGGGAGGGUCAUUGGAAACUGGGAAACUUGGGUGCAGAAGAGGAGAGUGGAAUUCCACGUGUAGCGGUGAAAUGCGUAGAGAUGUGGAGGAACACCAGUGGCGAAGGCGACUCUCUGGUCUGUAACUGACGCUGAGGAGCGAAAGCGUGGGGAGCGAACAGGAUUAGAUACCCGAGUAGUCCCUGUCUCUUAUAA
rnacentral:rRNA from 1 species